AAGCUUACAAUAAUUUUCUUUUUUGAUAACCCAGUAUCCAGACCACACAGUGAUCUGACUAGCCUACUGGGCCUAAACCCGCGUCACAGAGAUUUUUAAGCCUCCAUUUAAGGGCCCUCUGAUAAACUGGUGGUCUGGGGCGCCUGAGCAAGUCCGCAGGUAAAUUCUCAGGUGGCCACAGGAGUGAGAGAGCGAAACUGCGUCUGGGAAGGAUCGAUCCCUGGCCUAGACCAACAGGGCGAUCCUUCCAAAAAAAAGCUUACAGUAAUUUUACUACAUUUUACAAAAAAAUGACGAAUCUAGCAGCGUCUACUUGCCUCCACUCAUGUCUCCUUGUUUUGUUCUUGAGUUCAGUCUCAGCAGUCAUAUAUGAAGAUCAACAGGUAUUAUUAACGAUUAUGUGCAUACUAACUUAAGUCUUAAAUUGACUUCUAAUUUUUUUUAUUUUUUGAAAAUUAAAUGGACUUCUAAUUUGCACAUACGGUACAUUAAGUGUGUACUUUUUGCUUCUAAUCAGUUUCUUUUGACAAUUUCAAAAUUUCAAUAGAUAAUAGCACUUCUUAAUUUUGCAUAAACCACAGUUUAAGUAGAAGAAAAAAAACAAAUUUUUAGCUUAUAAUCAUCAUCACUAAGUUAUACUGAUUUGUUUUAAUUUAAACUGACUUGAUUCUUCCAUCGUUUUAGCUUAUAGUCAUCACUAAGCGUUUUACCUUACCCCGUUUUAGAAACUUUUAGUUUUGCAGUUUUCUGUUUACGUAUCCGUCUCGGUAUACCUAGCCAUUCGUUAUACAUGAUGAGUUGAUGAUGAUAUAUGAUGAUCCAUGAAGGUGUAUAUAGUCUACAUGGGUUCACUUUCGUCUCGCGCAGACUACAUACCAACGUCCGAUCACAUGAGUAUUCUUCAACAGGUCACAGGAGAAAGUUCGAUCGAAGGUCGCUUGGUGAGAAGUUACAAGAGGAGUUUCAACGGUUUCGCAGCCAGGCUCACUGAGUCAGAACGUACACUAAUUGCCGAAAUGGAGGGAGUUGUGUCUGUGUUCCCAAACAAAAUGUUACAACUCCAAACGACGACGUCAUGGG